UACAGAGGGGGCAAGCGUUGUUCGGAAUUACUGGGCGUAAAGGGCGCGUAGGCGGCCAACUAAGUCGAACGUGAAAUCCCUGGGCUCAACCCAGGAACUGCGUCCGAUACUGGUUGGCUUGAAUCCGGGAGAGGGAUGCGGAAUUCCAGGUGUAGCGGUGAAAUGCGUAGAUAUCUGGAGGAACACCGGUGGCGAAGGCGGCAUCCUGGACCGGCAUUGACGCUGAGGCGCGAAAGCCAGGGGAGCAAACGGG
rnacentral:rRNA from 1 species